AGACCUCAAUUGUCUUGAAAUACCACAGAAGAUCACGCCAGUCACCACGUGGAUGACAUCACACUGAGUCAACCUGAUAAGCAAGAAAUAAGUGAAAAAAAUGGAAGACUGGUCAAAGGAAAUUGAAACCCAAGACGGAUGCCAAGAUUGUGAGCAAAAGAGGAAAAGACACCAGGGAUACACGCACACAGAGAAAAGGCCACGUGAGGACACAGCGAGAAGAUGACCAUCUGUAAGCCAAGGAGAGAGGGCUCAGGAGAAACCAAACCUGCUGACACCUUGAUCUUGGACUUCCA